AUACGGAGGGUGCAAGCGUUAAUCGGAAUUACUGGGCGUAAAGCGUACGUAGGCGGUUCGUUAAGUUAGAUGUGAAAGCCCCGGGCUUAACCUGGGAACUGCAUUUAAAACUGGCGAACUAGAGUUGAGUAGAGGGGAGUGGAAUUUCAGGUGUAGCGGUGAAAUGCGUAGAGAUCUGAAGGAACACCAGUGGCGAAGGCGACUCCCUGGACUCGAACUGACGCUGAGGUACGAAAGCGUGGGUAGCAAACGGAAUUAGAUACCCUUGUAGUCC
rnacentral:rRNA from 1 species